GACAGAGGUGCCAAGCGUUAGGCGGAAUCACUGGGCUUAAAGCGUGUGUAGGUGGAUUUGUAAGUACCUUGUGAAAUCCCAUGGCUCAACCAUGGAACUGCUCGGUAUACUGCGAAUCUUGAGCCACUUAGGGGCUACCGGAACAAAUGGUGGAGCGGUGAAAUGCGUAGAUAUCAUUUGGAACGCCAAUGGUGAAAACAGGUAGCUGGGGCUGUGCUGACACUGAGACACGAAAGCCAGGGGAGCGAACGGG
rnacentral:rRNA from 1 species